rnacentral:rRNA from 1 species
CACGUAGGGGACGAGCGUUGUCCGGAUUCAUUGGGCGUAAAGCGCGCGUAGGCGGCUCGGAAAGUCGGUCGUGAAAUGCCGGGGCUCAACCCCGGGACUGCGUCCGAUACUCCCGAGCUGGAGGCAGGUAGGGGAGAUCGGAAUUCCUGGUGUAGCGGUGAAAUGCGCAGAUAUCAGGAGGAACACCGGUGGCGAAGGCGGAUCUCUGGGCCUUACCUGACGCUGAGGCGCGAAAGCGUGGGGAGCGAACAGG